GGCCAGCAGCCGCGGUAAAACGUAGGAGGCGAGCGUUAUCCGGAUUUACUGGGCGUAAAGCGCGUGCAGGCGGACGGGUAAGUUGGAUGUGAAAGCUCCCGGCUCAACUGGGAGAGGUCGUUCAAGACUGCCCGACUAGAGGAUGGUAGAGGGAGGUGGAAUUCCGGGUGUAGUGGUGAAAUGCGUAGAUAUCCGGAGGAACACCAGUGGCGAAAGCGGCCUCCUGGACCAUUUCUGACGCUCAGACGCGAAAGCUAGGGUAGCAAACGGGAUUAGAGACCCCGGUAGUCCUAGCCGUAAACCAUGUAGACUGGGCGUCGGCGGGUUCAAAUCCGUCGGUGCCGAAGCCAACGCGAUAAGUCUACCGCCUGGGGACUACGGCCGCAAGGUUAAAACUUAAAGGAAUUGGCGGGGGAU
rnacentral:rRNA from 1 species